rnacentral:rRNA from 1 species
AUUGAACGCUGGCGGCAUGCCUUACACAUGCAAGUCGAACGGUAACAGGUCUUCGGAUGCUGACGAGUGGCGAACGGGUGAGUAAUACAUCGGAACGUGCCUAGUAGUGGGGGAUAACUACUCGAAAGAGUGGCUAAUACCGCAUGAGAUCUACGGAUGAAAGCAGGGGAUCGCAAGACCUUGUGCUACUAGAGCGGCCGAUGGCAGAUUAGGUAGUUGGUGGGAUAAAAGCUUACCAAGCCGACGAUCUGUAGCUGGUCUGAGAGGGCGAUCAGCCACACUGGGACUGAGAAACGGCCCAGACUCCUACGGGAGGCAGCAGUGGGUAACUUUGGACAAUGGGCGCAAGCCUGAUCCAGCAAUGUCGCGUGCAGGAUGAAGGCCUUCGGGUUGUAAACUGCUUUUGUACGGAACGAAAAGCCCCGGGUUAAUACCCUGGGGUCAUGACGGUACCGUAAGAAUAAGCACCGGCUAACUACGUGCCAGCCGCCGCCGUAA